ACUUGGAUCAAAACCAAACUACUUUUGAUUCACUGUUUCAAGAUAAUUUGCAGAAAGUGCCUAUUCUGAAGAAUGGAAAUGCUUUAAAUUUAAAGGGUGUGAAAAUUAAAAAAACAAUUGUAUUCAUUUUAUAACACGUGUGCAAUAGAUUCAAUUGUACAAUUGUUUAUUGUUGGAGCAAUAGACCAUUCUGAAGUCGAAAAUGCAUUAAACACAUUACAAAAGGAUUGUCCAUUUAUUGCACUUGCACUAUAUAUAAAAAAGAUGGGAGUUGCACAAUCUUAUGUAAAACGAGGCAGAAUUUUACUGGAGUUUCAUGAAAGUGCUAUACAGAAGACACUAAACAAAACAAAUAAUGAACUUCAAAAAGUAAUACACGUAGACUGCAACACAAAUGCUUUUGACAUGAUGUUAAAA
rnacentral:lncRNA from 1 species